GAGUGGAUUUACUCAUGCUGCUGUGUUUGAAGGGAGAGAAGACAUAUCAAAGCUGCUUUAAAGAAAGCAGAAGUCAAGUUAUCUCUAAAGAGCUUUAUUCCUUCAAAGUCUAAAAUAUACCACAGGUUUCUUGUUUUGUUUUUUUAUUUUUCCUUUUCAGAAUAGUGGGUGGAAAUGCUCUUGGAAUAGCAGUGAGUCACAUCAGGGUGCAGGUAGGAGAAAAACGUUAAUGCCAUGGAUGCAUCUUUUCAUGGGGUACGAGCCCCAUCAAUGUCUGUGUGGCCAGAUGACGCACUGCGUGUUAUAAAUCAAUGAUGAGCAACGUGAAGAGCAGACGGGGAGCUUCAUGCAUCCUCCACAGCUCUGUCUUGUGACUGGCUCAGGUCCAUGUGCAAUUUUGAAGAGGAUGUUUGAAAAGGAUAUUCAUCAUUUUAAAUUGCUCUGUGGGAGCUUUGCAGUUCAUAAUGUGCCACUUAGGUACUUCUCAAAGAUCAGUUUUCCUUGACGUGGUUUACAAUUUAAUAACAGCAAAAGGGCAACUUGGGGUGUUAGGACAGAAAACUAACUUUGAAGGAAUUAAUAAGAAAUGUGGAGUGGAGUGGAGAAGAGCUAAAUAGGUUUGAGAUAUUGGAGCCCAAAAUGUCUGGCACUGGUAACUUCCAUUGUCUGGCAAGAGCGUUGUCAUCCUUUCCUCAGCUUAACCCUCAAAUAUAUGGGGAAAGUCUGCUUACAGCUUUCAGCAUGACUAAAAUAUGCUUUCUCUUGUGGAAAAAGAGUUAAAAACCCAGCAAUGUUAUUUAACCAUACUAGUAUUGAUGAUCUUGAAGAAAAUAGAAGAUUGUUAUUGAGAUAGUUCUGAGCCAAACUCAUCUGCUAUAUUCUUUGCCUCAUUUUGCGGUUUUACUCGAAGGGAUCCUCAUCAGAAGUGUGGUAUGUGAAUGGCACUGACUGUCAAGUGGACAGUUGGAGUGCAGGCAGCUGCUCCCCGGACACUCAGGUGAAAAUGAAUUAACAAUUGGUAGCCUGGGAAAAUGUGCAUCUUGAGCAAAUGUGCUCUCAAGUCAAUGAAAGAAGAAAACAGAAAUGGAUCCUGAUUCUUUCAGUACCGUAAAUAUUAGCAGAGUAUUAUGUGUGUAGAAUAAGAAAGUAUGACACUUCCACAGACACUGCCGGAGGGAGACAGGAAAGAACAGCAGACUCAACAGACUUACUGUUACAUAUUGAACUAUUUUUUUCAUAUGUUAAAAAUGUUUUUCAAAGCUCAAGGAGGUAUUUCCAUGCAAAGUACCUGUAAUGAAAGUGUUUUGGGAAAUGGUGCCAUAAAAACAGAGCCAGUAGCAAUAGGAUUUCUACUUCUUGCUUUGAUAUGCAGGCAGGUAAGUAGAGAAAAUUUUCCCUGAACAGUGUUUGCAGUUUAAAUGUCAUAAAUACUUUCAUGUAUUUGACAAAUAUUUAUUGUGCACCUCCCUUGUGCCAGGAACUGUUCUGGGUUUGUGAGACACAGUUGGGAAGAAGACAGACUUGAGCACGGGCAGCGGUGGUUGCCAUGAAGAUGUGUGAGAAGACAGGCCUGCCUGAAAAUGCUGCUGGUCCUGGUAUUUCUCCACCUUCACGGGACCCUCCAAACCAGUGCCCACUGCUUUUCUCAGUCGGUCAUCCCCCUCUGUUCUCACUUCCCUUCUUGUCCAGCUUAGACACCAUAAUUCAUCACUCCAGUGGUCUGCAAACUAGGUGCCCAUCAGGUACAGGAAGACUUCCCAAGGGAGGACUUCCUUGCAAAGAAAGUUUUAAGGAAACUCUCAAUCAUAUAGAUUCUUUUUCUUAAGUAGGUCCACCUGAGAACUCACAGGUAUGUAUGGAGCCCCUUCACCUACUCUACAUGAGAAAGACACAUACCUCAUCCAUCCCGAAUCUUACUAUCAUGUAUGCAACUGGGCCGUAAAACCUUCAGAGUGCCAAAUAAAGUGAUGUGCCAAAGUAUUAGUUUUAGGAAAAUGUUCUUAAUAAUUAAUUGAAACACUUAGGACUUUCCUGGUUUUCCUGUCUUCUAUGUAUUUGGUCCUAUAAACAGUGUGUAUCUUUCCCAUGUUGGAAUGUUCUGGAGUCAGAUACGGGAUAGAAUGAUAUGGAAAGAAUAAUAAUCUUUUUUGUUUAAUUACUUUGACUCUUUUAUCUUUGGUCUGUUACCAAGGAAACUACUGCUCUGAAAGUAGAGUCCUGUGAAGGCAAAGCAAAGAAGAUAUCAUCAGAAAAUGCUGAGAAUUAAAAACAACAUGUUAAAAAACA